AGUAACACGUGGGGAACCUGCCCCAUAGUCUGGGAUACCACUUGGAAACAGGUGCUAAUACCGGAUAAGAAAGCGGAUCGCAUGAUCAGCUUUUAAAAGGCGGCGUAAGCUGUCGCUAUGGGAUGGCCCCGCGGUGCAUUAGCUAGUUGGUAAGGUAAAGGCUUACCAAGGCGAUGAUGCAUAGCCGAGUUGAGAGACUGAUCGGCCAAAUUGGGACUGAGACACGGCCCAAACUCCUACGGGAGGCAGCAGCG
rnacentral:rRNA from 1 species